AUUGAACGCUGGCGGCAGGCCUAACACAUGCAAGUCGAACGAGUGGCGGACGGGUGAGUAAUGUCUGGGAAACUGCCUGAUGGAGGGGGAUAACUACUGGAAACGGUCGCUAAUACCGCAUACCAUCAGAUGUGCCCCGAUGGGAGUAGCUAGUUGGUGGGGUAACGGCUCACAAAGGCGACGAUCCCUAGCUGGUCUGAGAGGAUGACCAUGCACACUGGAAAUGAGACACGGUCCAGACUCCUACGGGAGGCAGGAGUGGUGAAUAUUGCACAAUGGGCGCAAGCCUGAUGCAGUCAUGCCGCGUGUAUGAAGAAGGCCUUCGGGUUGUAAAGUACUUUCAGCGGGGAGGCGUUACCCGAAGAAGAAGCACCGGCUAACUCCGUGCCAGCAGCCGCGGUAAUAC
rnacentral:rRNA from 1 species